AGUGGGAAUUAAACCAACCAUCCAAUUGUUAACCAACGGCUCAAUUUCGACCGUUCCUAUGGGGCAGGCCCAAUUUCGACCGUUCCUAUGGGGCAGGUCCUGAUUUCCCAAGUACUGGAAAUUAAAGUAACGGUCCAAUUUUUAAACCAAUGGCCCAAUUUCGAACCAAUUUGUGUGGGGCAGGUCCUGAUUUCGAAUCCGACCCUGGGUAGGAUUGAUAGGUCCAGAAAAUUAGCAACCAUAAUAUAAGAUAGGGUCAUUCUUGCUGCAAAGAUGCUGUA
rnacentral:lncRNA from 1 species